rnacentral:rRNA from 1 species
UACGUAGGGUGCAAGCGUUAUCCGGAUUCACUGGGUUUAAAGGGUGCGUAGGCGGGCAGGUAAGUCCGUGGUGAAAUCUCUGAGCUUAACUCAGAAACUGCCAUGGAUACUAUUUGUCUUGAAUAUUGUGGAGGUGAGCGGAAUAUGUCAUGUAGCGGUGAAAUGCUUAGAUAUGACAUAGAACACCAAUUGCGAAGGCAGCUCACUACACAGUCAUUGACGCUGAGGCACGAAAGCGUGGGGAUCAAACAGG